rnacentral:snoRNA from 1 species
CCUCUAGAUGAGGAAGAUUUGAUUGCUUAUAUUCUAAACGGCCAAGAUGGUGAUUAUGAUGGUGAUUAUGAUUCUGUUGUUUCUGCAAUCGGCAUGAAAUCUGAACUAAUCUCUGUUAUGGAAGUAUACUCUCAGCUGUUAAAUUUUGAGA